UACAAAACUUUAAAAAACACAAAUAACAUCCUACGAUCAGUUAAAGACCCCCUCCCUAUACUCGACCAAUGCAACGUUAUUUACAGUCUAGAAUGCACAGACUGUAAACAAACAUACAUUGGAAUGACCACAAACCAGUUAAAAACUAGAAUGUCUGGACACAAGAGCAAUGUUAACCAAUACACCAAAUUAAUCCAAAGCAAUGACACACACACAAAUGAAGAAAUCCUAAGACUAGGCGAAAAAACGGCAUUAAUGAAACAUGUCAUUGAAAACAACCAUAUGUUCAAUGUUGCAAACCCAAAAAUUCUCGAUAGGGCCAAUAGAAAAUCAACACUACCAACACUAGAGAUGUGUCACAUUACCAAUACACCUAACACAGUCAACCACCGUACAGACAUACAAGGUCUAAGUACAACGUACGCAGGACUAUUCCACACAAUUAAACAGUCCACCACACGUAGACAAACCCCAGCCAUAUCAACAAUGGAACCAAUUCCACACCUCCUAAAUGAAACCGAUGAACGUGAUCCAUAAUCACCACAAAAUUCACCAACCAUUUUGAAACGAUCGUUACCAGUGCUGUGAAGUCCAAUCAAAACUAAAUAUAUUUAAAAAACCUUUAAAAAACAGUAAGUUAGGUAAAAUUGUGCAUCAAAUCCAAAAUAAUAACCAUAUUAUAACAGACAGGUAAUGAAAAGGCAGGCCAAACACAAAUGGUUAGGCAACUAUAUACACGGGAGACGAUAGACACUACGACCCUUGAGAAAGGCCAAAACCCUUCGGCCGAAACGUCGGGAGAGUAGGAAACAUUUCGUUCUCGACUUAAAGACUGAGAAAGCCACCCAAAAGAUCGAUCAAACAUC